ensembl:lncRNA
GUUGAAAUCAUCAAAUAGGUAUUUUGCUCACUUCUCCUUCUUGAUACUUACAAGGAUAACUCUCUCCUUCCAAAGACCAUGCUUAUGGCCAAAGAGAUGUCAACAAAAAUGACUGCUGUCCCUUCUGGGCUGACAUAUUGAGUUUCUGAUGCAGACGAUUCCAUGCUCUCGUUUCCUGCGGAGUGGACCAUGGAGCGUUGCGUUGAGAGCCCAAGAACUUGCCAGUCAAGAUGAAAAACUUCUUCUAAUGGAAUCCAGCUUGAAAGCUACUCAAGAGCAGCUAACUGAGCAAAUAGCAGAAACAGUUCGCCAAGAACAGAACAGUAGAAAACCCCAGGCAGAGCUGAAGACAGUGACAGAAGGGAUUAUUGCUUCUGAAGAAGAAAAAAAUGAUUACAAGUGAGUUGCUUUUUAGUAUUUCAGAAAGUUUUACUUUACAUACUAAAAUCAAGUCAAUCCUUUGACUUUCGUUGCUAAAUAUUUAACUCUG